rnacentral:rRNA from 1 species
CUAUUCGGGAAUUUCUGGGCGUGACAGCUAAAGCACCGGAUCCCAUCAUAAUUCCGAAGUUAAGCGUGCUUGGGCUAGAGUUGUACUCGGAUGGGUGACCUCCUGGGAAGUCCUCGUGUUGCAUCCC